rnacentral:rRNA from 1 species
GCUUAUGCUAGUCAUAUGCUUGUCUCAGUCGUAACAAGGUUUCACUGUAGUCAUAUGCUUGUCUCAAGUCGUAACAAGGUUUCACUGUAGUCAUAUGCUUGUCUCAAGUCGUAACAAGGUUUAACUGACCUCAUAUGCUUGAGGGGUGUAUUUAUUAGAUAAAAAACCAAUGCCCUUCGGGGCUCCUUGGUGAAUCAUAAUAACUUAACGAAUCGCAUGGCCUUGCGCCGGCGAUGGUUCAUUCAAAUUUCUGCCCUAUCAACUUUCGAUGGUAGGAUAGUGGCCUACCAUGGUGGCAACGGGUAACGGGGAAUUAGGGUUCGAUUCCGGAGAGGGAGCCUGAGAAACGGCUACCACAUCCAAGGAAGGCAGCAGGCGCGCAAAUUACCCAAUCCCGACACGGGGAGGUAGUGACAAUAAAUACUGAUACGGGGCUCUUUUGGGUCUCGUAAUUGGAAUGAGUACAAUCUAAAUCCCUUAACGAGGAACAAUUGGAGGGCAAGUCUGGUGCCAGCAGCCGCGGUAAUUCCAGCUCCAAUAGCGUAUAUUAAAGUUGUUGCAGUUAAAAAGCUCGUAGUUGAACCUUGGGUCUGGCUGGCCGGUCCGCCUCACCGCGAGUACUGGUCCGGCUGGACCUUUCCUUCUGGGGAAUCUCAUGGCCUUCACUGGCUGUGGGGGGGAACCAGGACUUUUACUGUGAAAAAAUUAGAGUGUUCAAAGCACGCCUUUGCUCGAAUACAUUAGCAUGGAAAUAAUAGAAUAGGACGUGCGG